AGUGAACGCUGGCGGUAGGCCUAACACAUGCAAGUCGAACGGCAGCACAGUGAGAGCUUGCUCUUACGGGUGGCGAGUGGCGGACGGGUGAGGAAUACAUCGGAAUCUACUUUUUCGUGGGGGAUAACGUAGGGAAACUUACGCUAAUACCGCAUACGACCUACGGGUGAAAGCAGGGGAUCUUCGGACCUUGCGCGAUUGAAUGAGCCGAUGUCGGAUUAGCUAGUUGGCGGGGUAAAGGCCCACCAAGGCGACGAUCCGUAGCUGGUCUGAGAGGAUGAUCAGCCACACUGGAACUGAGACACGGUCCAGACUCCUACGGGAGGCAGCAGUGGGGAAUAUUGGACGAUGGGCGCAAGCCUGAUCCAGCCAUACCGCGUGGGUGAAGAAGGCCUUCGGGUUGUAAAGCCCUUUUGUUGGGAAAGAAAAGCAGCAGGUUAAUACCCCGCUGUUCUGACGGUACCCAAAGAAUAAGCACCGGCUAACUUCGUG
rnacentral:rRNA from 1 species